rnacentral:rRNA from 1 species
ACGGGUAGCCGGCCUGAGAGGGCGACCGGCCACACUGGGACUGAGACACGGCCCAGACUCCUACGGGAGGCAGCAGUGGGGAAUAUUGCACAAUGGGCGAAAGCCUGAUGCAGCGACGCCGCGUGAGGGAUGACGGCCUUCGGGUUGUAAACCUCUUUCAGCAGGGAAGAAGCGAAAGUGACGGUACCUGCAGAAGAAGCGCCGGCUAACUACGUGCCAGCAGCCGCGGUAAUACGUAGGGCGCAAGCGUUGUCCGGAAUUAUUGGGCGUAAAGAGCUUGUAGGUGGCUUGUCGCGUCUGCCGUGAAAACCCGAGGCUCAACCUCGGGCGUGCGGUGGGUACGGGCAGGCUAGAGUGUGGUAGGGGAGACUGGAACUCCUGGUGUAGCGGUGAAAUGCGCAGAUAUCAGGAAGAACACCGAUGGCGAAGGCAGGUCUCUGGGCCAUUACUGACACUGAGAAGCGAAAGCAUGGGGAGCGA